rnacentral:misc_RNA from 1 species
GAAAUUCACAGAAUUUGCUUAGUGAUGGAUUGGUUCGUGUGCUUGCAUCUAGGUUCUGAAAUCAGGAACUUCAAUUUUUCUCCAGACAAGCAUGUGAUGCACUUGGGUGGAAGACCAGGGCAUAUUUUUAACUUGCAAAGUAAAGUUGAAGCAUGUGAAUCCAUUAAUGAGAGUAUGGCAAAAAUUUACCAGGGAGUGUAUGGCUUCGAUAAACCCACCAUGAUCAAAAAGAGGGUCAAUUCCAGUAGAGGCUUGCAGUUACUAAGAAGCUUCAAAAGUAUGAACUGUGGAGCUUUAAUUGAUCGUCAAAAGGUAAAUGAAGGGAAAUUGAUAAAUCGAAGCUUAAUUGAUUUACUCAUGAAUGAGGAAUCAGUGCUGGAUUUAAUUAGUGAGAAGAUGGAGUUCAAUUUAACACCCUUCAUUGGAUUUGCUGGAUCUGGUAAGACACAUAAUUUAACUGAAUUUCUAAUUGAUGGUAAAAAUCUUCAGGACUUUCUUUUGAUCUCAUCCAGGAAAAGUGUUUUGGACCAAAUCAUUGCUAAAAUCCAUAACCUAAGUGAAGAAGAGAAAGUCUCGAAAAUUAAGAAUUUCAAGACAUUUGAAACAGC